AACUCUCGGCAACGAAUAUCUUAGCUCUCAUAUUAAUGAAGAACGUAGCGAAAUGCGAUACUUUGUGUGAAUUGCAGAAUCACGUGAACCAUCGACUCUUAGAAUGCAUGUUGCACCCGAAGCCAUUAGGCCAAGGGCACUUCUGCCUGGGCGUCA
rfam:Solanum tuberosum cultivar DM 1-3 516 R44 scf01302_1, whole genome shotgun sequence.